CGUCGCUGUGAACAGGGUUUGAAAAGCCUCAAAGCAUGCAAGUUAUCACACAUAUAUAUGUAGCUAUUGUUUUAGAGAGCAUGUACUCAUGUCUUCUCUGCUGAUUAUAUACAAAACGACCAAAACGCUACCCUCAGGGGAUUCUUGUGGUUUUCAGCAUGUACAUAUGUCGAUUCCGGUGUUGUGUAUUUGAGGGAGAAUACGUUAUCUUUUGUGUCAAGCGGAGGUUCCAAUUGCUGUAGUUCAGCAUCACAAUAUGGCUGAAAAUACGAAGUUUGGGUUGUUUAACACUUACUAACUUGUGUUGACACAAUCUCUCGCUGGCUGGGGUAAAUGAGGGGGCGGUAACUGUAGGGCUAGCAGCGCGAUUUAGUCAAGCUAGGAUUAUUAUUUACGACUUAGUUGAGCCAGACGGUCCUCAGACCAACUACGAUGUACUUUCUGGCCGUAUCGGAUCCAGUUCUGUGAGCUACGUCGUAGAAAGCGCAAGUACGUACGUCGUAGUUGAAUUUUGACUGGUACAGAAAACCAUGAUCCAGUUCGGUGAGCUAAGUCGUAGAAAGCGUCAUUACGUCGUAGUUGAAUUUUGACUGGUAAUGUUUUUUUUAGUGACAGUGACAGUCAGACUUCAAACCUGUCGGAACAGCCAUAGAUGUAACUUCAAUUUUCAUUGAAUAAAAACACUGUUAGACAUGCAUUAAAGGUUUAGAACUCCAUCCUGGGAUUUAUCAAAGUUAUAUUCUUCAAGCAGAUUUUUAAUGAUCCGAGGCCGCACUAAUUAUAGGGUAAGGACGAGGUGAUUACACGUAGAAGUCACAUCUUUUGUCUCUUGUAGGGGGUUUCUUGGAUGGAGUGCCUUCUGUGAUGUCCCCCUUAAUAGGACAUAGAGGCGGGGACUAAGGCUACUUUUCUGGUUGGACGAGUUGUGGUACAUUGUCCUAUGGUCCAACCUGAGGCUCGAGUGUGAAUGUACCUCAUUUUAAUCCAGACAUUCUAUCGCUUGGGUGGUUUGAUUCUUACUUCUUCUUUGAUACAGUCGUAUGUGAGACACACAAGAAUUCAGAAGAACUGCGUGGGUCUGCGCUUGCUUUUUAUCUGAAUAUAUUGAGUCGAGGGAAAAGACCAUGACGUCAUCACGUCGCGAUGUCUCUGUGCUCCUUCCGUUCCAUGAUGCGGACCAAGAGAAGGCUGAGGAGUUACGUAGAUGCCCGGAUGUACAGGUGAAGGAAGUCAUCUUCAGCAAUAUUGAAGACAAUGAGACGCUCCUGGAGUACACCGAACGAGUGAAAAAGGUUG